GGGCCUAUAGCUCAGUUGGUUAGAGCGCACCCCUGAUAAGGGUGAGGUC
rnacentral:tRNA from 1 species